rnacentral:rRNA from 1 species
AACGUAGGAGACAAACGUUAUUCGGAAUCACUGGGCUUAAAGCGCGUGUAGGCGGGACGGCACGUCUGUCGCUGAAAUCCCCCGGCUCAACCGGGGAACGGGCGCGGAUACGACCGUCCUGGAGGGGCGUAGGGGGACCUGGAACUUCCGGUGGAGCGGUGAAAUGCGUUGAGAUCGGAAGGAACGCCCGUGGCGAAAGCGAGGUCCUGGACGCUUACUGACGCUGAGACGCGAAAGCCAGGGGAGCGAACGGG